GAUGAACGCUAGCGGGAGGCCUAACACAUGCAAGCCGAGCGGUAUUGUUUCUCCGGAAAUGAGAGAGCGGCGUACGGGUGCGUAACACGUGUUCAACCUGCCUUUAUCUGGGGGAUAGCCUUUCGAAAGGAAGAUUAAUACUCCAUAAUAUAUUGAACGGCAUCGUUUAAUAUUGAAAGCUCCGGCGGAUAGAGAUGGGCACGCGCAAGAUUAGCUAGUUGGUGAGGUAACGGCUCACCAAGGCGAUGAUCUUUAGGGGGCCUGAGAGGGUGAUCCCCCACACUGGUACUGAGACACGGAGCAGACUCCUACGGGAGGCGGCAGUGAGGAAUAUUGGUCAAUGGGUGCAAGCCUGAGACAGCCAUCCCGCGUGAAGGACGACUGCCCUAUGGGUUGUAAACUUCUUUUGUAUAGGGAUAAACCUACCCUCGUGAGGGUAGCUGAAGGUACUAUACGAAUAAGCACCGGCUAACUCCGUGCCAGCCGCCGCGGUAA
rnacentral:rRNA from 1 species